GGCGGACGGCUAGAGUAACACGUAGGAACGUACCCCAAAGUGAGGGAUAAGCAUUGGAAACAGUGUCUAAUACCGCAUGUGAUCUAAGGAUUAAAGCUCCGGCGCUUUGGGAACGGCCUGCGUAUAGAUUAGUUUGUUGGUGAGGUAAUGGCUCACCAAGACGACGAUCAUUAGCUGGUCUGAGAGGAUGAUCAGCCAGACUGGGACUGAGACACGGCCCAGACUCCUACGGGAGGCAGCAGUAGGGAAUAUUCCACAAUGGGCGAAAGNCUGAUGGAGCAACGCCGCGUGCAGGAUGAACCCCCUACGGGNCGUAAACUGCUUUGAUAUGUAGACGAAUAUGACGGGUAGCAUAUGAAUAAGGAUCGGCUAACUACCGUGCCAGCCGCCGCGG
rnacentral:rRNA from 1 species